rnacentral:rRNA from 1 species
AUUGAACGCUGGCGGAAUGCCUUACACAUGCAAGUCGAACGGCAGCACGGACUUCGGUCUGGUGGCGAGUGGCGAACGGGUGAGUAAUAUAUCGGAACGUGCCCAGUCGUGGGGGAUAACGUAGUGAAAAUUACGCUAAUACCGCAUACGAUCUAUGGAUGAAAGCGGGGGACCUUUGGGCCUCGCGCGAUUGGAGCGGCCGAUAUCAGAUUAGGUAGUUGGUGGGGUAAAGGCUCACCAAGCCAACGAUCUGUAGCUGGUCUGAGAGGACGACCAUCCACACGGGGACUGAGACACGGCCCAGACUCCUACGGGAGGCAGCAGUGGGGAAUUUUGGACAAUGGAGGCAAGUCUGAUCCAGCCAUUCCGCUUGCAGGACGAAGGCCUUCGGGUUGUAAACUGCUUUUGUACAGAACGAAAAGGUUUCUACUAAUACUAGGGGCUCAUGACGGUACUGUAAGAAUAAGCACCGGCUAACUACGUGCCAGCCGCCGCCGUAA